AUACGGAGGAUCCGAGCGUUAUCCGGAUUUAUUGGGUUUAAAGGGUGCGCAGGCGGCCAUUUAAGUCAGCGGUUAAAUCGUGGGGCUCAACCCCAUUCUGCCGUUGAUACUGGGUGGCUUGAUUGCGGUCGAGGUUGGCGGAAUUCGUUGUGUAGCGGGGAAAUGCGUAGAUAUGCCACAGAACGCCGAUAGCGGAGGCAGCUCGCCAGGCCUGCAUUGACGCUCGGGCACGAAAGCGUGGGGAUCGAACAGGAUUAGAUACCCUGGUAGUCCACGCCGUAAACGAUGGGCGCUCGUCGUCGGCGGCAGACAGUCGGCGGCCAAGCGAAAGCGAUAAGCGCCCCACCUGGGGAGUACGGUCGCAAGGCUGAAACUCAAAUGAAUUGACGGGG
rnacentral:rRNA from 1 species